CUUGGCAUGAAGAUGACCAUAAGCUCUAAAACUCAUAAAGAGAAACACCAAAUAAGAACCAAGAAGUAUGAUGCAAGGAUCCAAAUGGUUUGAGCUCUCAACGAACGGUAUGAUCGAGCUACUCGCUUGAGAGACCCCUGUCACGCCCAAGAUGCGACCAUAUCCUCAAUUUGGCACGAGGGCCUCGUCAGGGAUAGAAGCGCAUCUCGUCGUGUCGCAAGAAUGGAUAUCAUUACAAGUACAUGUACUGAAAAGAAGAGAUAUAUAGAAUUGGCUUACACUCGCCACAAGCUACAUCAAAGUCACAUAAGUACAUUACAUAUUCAUCAAGAGUAAGAGCAGGGUCCGACUACGGACGAAAACAAACGACAAAAUAAGACCGACGUCCAUCCUUGCUAUCCCAGGUUGCCGGCCUGGAACCCAUCCUAGAUCGAUGAUGAAGAAGAAGAAGAAGCAACUCCAAAUGAACAAUCAACGCGCUCGCGUCAAGUAAUCUUUACCUGCACCUGCAACUGGUGUUGUAGUAAUCUGUGAGCCACAGGGGACUCAGCAAUCUCAUUUCCAAAGGUAUCAAGACUAGCAAAGCUUAAUGGGUGAGGCAUGGUUAAGUGGUGAGGUUGCAGCAGCGGCUAUGCAUAUGUUUAUGGUGGCUAACUUACGAGUACAAGAAGUAAGAGAGGGAAGAUCUACGCAUAAUGGACGUGAACUACUGUUGAUCAAAUAAAUGAUCCUAAACACCUACCUACGUCAGACAUAACCCACCAUGUCCUCGAUCGGAGAAAGAACUCACGAAAGAGACAGUCGCGGUUACGCACACAGUUGGCAUAUUUUUAAUUAAGUUAAUUUCAAGUUAUCUAGAACCAGUGUUAAACAAAGCUUCCACGUUGCCACAUAACCGUGGGCACGGCUUUCCGAAAGAUUUAACCAUGCAGGGGUGCUCCAACUAGUCCAUCAUAUACCACAAGCCACAUAGAAAUCCUCAAUCACGAAGCUCGCGAUCUCGUCGGAUUCCCUAGUGGAAAACCUCAACUCUGAGAUUACCCAAAGCAUCACCGGAAUCCCGAUGCAUCAAGAUAUUCCGUCAAAGGUAAAAACUAAUCCAGCAAGGCCGCCCGGCGUGUCGACGAUCCCGAUAGGAGCCGCGUAUCUCGUUCUCAGGACACGACGGAUGGAACUAGCUAUGGGUGCCAAACCUCGAGUUUCACUGUGGUGGCCCCGCAGGCAGACCGUUUGGGACCAACACCAUCAGCACUGGCCCCCCCUGUUUAUGUAAAAUUACUCCUCGGGUUCAUGACGCCCUAUGCAUUUCAAUAUUAACAAAGUUAUUAUGUUGGGCAAAUGUAGAACCAAUGUUGGGCCUUGCCGGACCAGCUUUAAUCUAAAAUGAAUUAUCAAGGGGGUCCCCAUAACAACCCCGAUCGUGUUAGGAGAGCUCGUUUAUGGAACAUAACACCGGUAGCCGGAAACUAAGGGGGCAAAGGUGGAACAAAACACCAGGCUAGAAAGGCUGAGCCUUCCACCUUUUACCAAGUAUAUAGGUGCAUUAAAUUAAAUAACAUUUAAAUAUGGUGAUAUAACAAGGAACCCAUGUUUUCACAUGGAAGCAACUACACCUGCAACUAGCAACGCUAACACAGGGUUUAGCAAGCGGUAACAUAGCCAAUCAGUGGUUUGCUAGGUCGAACAGGUUGAAGGUUAUCAUGGCAUUGUUGAGAGGCUGAUAUUUAACAAGUGGUAGGCAACGAGACAUAAUCGAUAGAAACGGUAAAACUAGCAUGGCAAUGAUAGUAAUGGUAUCUCGGGAAAUGAUCAUCUUGCCUGAGAUCCCGCUUGGAAGAAGAACAACUCGGUGGAGUCGGCAAACCAUCGUAGUCGAACGGGUCCUCACAUUCCGACACGCUUGCGGAACUCUAUCAAGAUGAA
rnacentral:lncRNA from 1 species